GAAAGGUUGAUGAAGAAAUUAAUAAGGAAUACACUUGAGACUUUUAGUGAUGAAAAAGAGAUUUUAAACAGCGACUUUGACUUUU